rnacentral:rRNA from 1 species
GACGAACGCUGGCGGCGUGCUUAACACAUGCAAGUCGAACGAUGAAGCGGUGCUUGCACCGUGGAUUAGUGGCGAACGGGUGAGUAAUACGUGAGUGACCUACCUUUGACUCUGGGAUAAGCCUGGGAAACUGGGUCUAAUACCGGAUACGACCAAUCUCUGCAUGGGGUGUUGGUGGAAAGCGUUAUGGAGUGGUUUUAGAUGGGCUCACGGCCUAUCAGCUUGUUGGUGAGGUAAUGGCUUACCAAGGCGACGACGGGUAGCCGGCCUGAGAGGGUGACCGGCCACACUGGGACUGAGAACAGGCCCAGACUCCUACGGGAGGCAGCAGUGGGGAAUAUUGCACCAUGGGCGCAAGCCUGAUGCAGCGACGCCGCGUGAGGGAUGACGGCCUUCGGGUUGUAAACCUCUGUUAGCAUCGAAGAAGCGAAAGUGACGGUAGGUGCAGAGAAAGCGCCGGCUAACUACGUG